AUGCAUGCUUCACCUGCCAGCAUCGAUCGGUCACUAACUUCAUUUCCACCUACUCAUGUCCAGCUGAAUCACGGAACAAGGCCGGCCACUGGAUUCUACGACUGUUUGAACACCGGCCGGCCGGCUGCGCUCCAGUUCUUAAUCCUCAGUCAGAAAUCACAAUCCCAUUCCAGGUGCAAUGGAUUUUGCCAUACUGUUGCUUCUCUUGAUCUUUGCACCAGCAGGGAUGCCAUCAUUUACCAGCUGCCCCUCAUCCACCUUCGCUCACCAUAUGUAGCUCAGUCAGUGUCGCUCAUCUUCAACCUCGCUAGCCAGUAUCGCACUUACAUUGUUCUUACAAUGACUGUAGAUCAUGUUGUCAACUCAGAAGGUGCACUUGAGUUCCCCUUGUUUCACACCGACCACCCGUGCGUCCAACAACAUCGUGGUCGUCCGAUGUCAACUGAAAGCAUCAGUGAAACUGAUGAUACAGACCUACCCAUUGACUUGAUACGGAAUGACAGCAUAAACAACUUUGCCUUUCUAAUGCCCGUCCAGCUGGGCACGCCACCGGUCUGGAACCUCGUGGCAGUUGACACUGGAUCUCCAUUCUGCUUUGUUCAGUGUAGACCUUGCACCCUCUGGUGCAACGAUCAAGAGGGUGCUGGCCAGAUAUUCGAUCCCAAGAAGUCCAAGAGUUUCAGGCGUAUUGGGUGCUCGGCGAAAGCCUGCCGAGCACUUCAGUCGCGGCUGCGUCUGCCGUUCAAAGCAUGCAUGGAGAAAGAGGAUAGCUGCCUUUACAGUGCCUCAUACGGGAAAGGAUCCUAUUAUUCAGUCGGCAAGCUGGUGGCAGACACAAUCUCCAUUGGGCGUGAUGGCAAGGGAUACAGUAUUCCCAGCUUCAUCUUCGGCUGCAGCUUGGACAUCGAGUAUGAUCAGGGCGAGGCCGGCAUAUUCGGGUUCGGUGCCGCGCCGUCUUCUUUCUUCUCACAGGUAGUACGGGUGGUUAACUAUCGGGCAUUCAGCUACUGUUUUCCGAGUGACAGAAAGAAGACUGGAUAUUUGUCCAUCGGGGAUUACAACCGUGACAAUUCUACUUCUUACACCCCCUUGUUCGUGGCUCAUCAACGGCCAGUGUUUGCACUGACGCUGGAUAAGGUGGUGGUCAAUGGGAUCACGCUGAUCACAGACCCCUCAGAAAUGAUGGUUGACACUGGGGCAAAAUGGACGGUGCUGCGGUCUGAUACCUUCAGCCAACUUGAGACGGUAAUCUCCAAGGCUUUGGGAACUUUGGGAUAUAAGCGCACCCUUGUUCUGGGACCAAAUCAUAUGUGCUAUGAGGAGGACUUAUUCACAGUGUUCCGCAAUUGGUCCGCUUUGCCUGUGGUACAACUUUCGUUCGACAUGGGUGCUACACUUACAUUGGCACCCGAGAGCUCAUUUCAUUUUAGAAGCAGUCAUGGACUAUGCACGUAUUUCAUGAGAGAUGCUGGCAUGGGGAAAGCAGGUUUGCAGCUGGUGGGGAACUCGGUCACACGAUCGAUCGGCGUCACCUUUGAUUUUCAAGGGGGGCGGUUUGCUUUUCGGGAUGGAGACUGCUGA
rnacentral:rRNA from 1 species